GACUCUGUAGCUCAGCUGGAUAGAGUGUUUGACUUCGAAUCAAAAUGUCGGGGGUUCGAAUCCCUCCAGGGUCACCA
rnacentral:tRNA from 1 species